GAUGAACGCUGGCGGCGUGCCUAAUACAUGCAAGUCGAGCGAACAGACGAGGAGCUUGCUCCUCUGACGUUAGCGGCGGACGGGUGAGUAACACGUGGAUAACCUACCUAUAAGACUGGGAUAACUUCGGGAAACCGGUGCUAAUACCGGAUAAUAUAUUGAACCGCAUGGUUCAAUAGUGAAAGCCGGUUUUGCUGUCACUUAUAGAUGGAUCCGCGCCGCAUUAGCUAGUUGGUAAGGUAACGGCUUACCAAGGCAACGAUGCGUAGCCGACCUGAGAGGGUGAUCGGCCACACUGGAACUGAGACACGGUCCAGACUCCGACGGGAGGCAGCAGUAGGGAAUCUUCCGCGAUGGGCGAAAGCCUGACGGAGCGACGCCGCGUGAGUGAUGAAGGGCUUCGGAUCGUAAAACUCUGUUAUUAGGGAAGAACAAAUGUGUAAGUAACGAUGCACGUCUUGACGGUACCUGAUCAGGAAGCCACGGCUAACUACGUG
rnacentral:rRNA from 1 species